rnacentral:rRNA from 1 species
UACGAGAGGCCCCAAACGUUAUUCGGAUUUACUGGGCUUAAAGAGUUCGUAGGCGGUCUGGUAAGUGGGGUGUGAAAGCCCUCGGCUCAACCGAGGAAUUGCGCUCCAAACUGCCAGGCUCGAGGGAGAUAGAGGUGAGCGGAACUGAUGGUGGAGCGGUGAAAUGCGUUGAUAUCAUCAGGAACACCAGAGGCGAAGGCGGCUCACUGGGUCUUUUCUGACGCUGAGGAACGAAAGCUAGGGGAGCAAACGGGAUUAGAUACCCUGGUAGU